GUAAAGCUCUUUCAGACGGGAACGAAACGGGUCAACGGCCAACACCCGUGGACUAAUGACGGUACCGUCAGAAGAAGCACCGGCUAACUACGUGC
rnacentral:rRNA from 1 species